GGCUGGAUCACCUCCUAACAGGGAGACAAACCUAAUCAUGAUGUCUGAGUUUUUUAGUCUUAGGCCAUGAUUCUGUCACCUUAGGUCGAUCGGUACCUCAAGGAACAAGCCAGGGAGACUGAGCAAUCAGAGGAGCCUGGCGAGUUUUUUCAGUUCUUAAACGUUGUCUAGGUCACCCCAUGGCUCCUGGGCCAUUAGCUCAGGUGGUUAGAGCGCACCCCUGAUAAGGGUGAGGUCCCUGGUUCAAGUCCAGGAUGGCCCAUGCACAGCCUGGUGAGCAGGCAGGACUUGAAAGCUGGGGGUUUAGCUCAGUUGGUAGAGCGCCUGCUUUGCAAGCAGGAUGUCAGCGGUUCGAGUCCGCUAACCUCCAUCGCAACGCAAGAGCCCACAAGCGCAAGCGCCAGAAGCGCAAGCGGAGGAGGUAGGGAGUGACCGAGACGGGGAGCAAGACGGGAACGAGAGGAGCUGAGGACGAUUCCAGCCUUCAGGAUUCAAGCGAUCAACUGCCAAAGAAGCAGGAAAGCGUUUGAGUAUUGAAUGCUGGACUCACACCCACCGAGAGCUGUUGAAACGGUGAUGGGUGGGGUGAUUGGUUCAGCGUCGAACCUUGACAACUGCAUAGGUGAGUCUGGAAAGAAAGCAUCUCAUGGAUGACCAGUGAAAACUGGAAAUUCUAUGACGUAAAGAGCCGAGGCUUUCCAGCGUUCUUCCAAAGCUUUGGCCAAUCCAGCCAAAGGGAGGGAGUUUGAUUUUGCGAUUCAAACCGUGAUGAUGCUGUGAUGAGCAGUGUGAUCAGCA
rnacentral:tRNA from 1 species